AAGACAUCUCAGGUUUUAAUAAUAUUCAUUGAGAAUCUCUAAGAGGGUUCCAACUUUUCCAGCCUUAUCUGACCACAGAUUUGGAGGCUUUCAUCCCCAGCACUAUACUCUGGGAAACACCAAAAUUUAAGUGUUCAGUUGUCAAAUAUGUUUCUGCUAAUUUAAUAAAGAUAUAUUCAUUUAACUGUUGCUUAGUUUAUUUUAAAUUUGAUGUAUAAAUUAUAUUUUUAAAUGCUUGAAAUUUGGGCUUUGGUUAAUUUUGGCUUUUAUUUAAUGAAUAUUGUUUGUUGUUUACUAAGUCUCAUAUAAUUUGUUAUGGCAUAUUUAGCUGUGUUAAAAUAUAAAUUAGCCAUGAUGGCUAAAUUAGUCUCUGUCAAGAGCUUUGUUUGCAUUUGUAACUGGUCUGUUCAUUUUUCCUUACGGUGUAGGUAUGCACUUAUAUGUCAGCAGUGUUUUUCUCAUAAUGGCAUGGCUUUGAAGGAAGAAUUUGAAUACAUUGCUUUUCGAUGUGCCUACUGUUUUUUCUUGAACCCUGCAAGAAAAACC
rnacentral:sRNA from 1 species